UACAGAGGUCUCAAGCGUUGUUCGGAUUCAUUGGGCGUAAAGGGUGCGUAGGUGGCGCUGUAAGUCGGGUGUGAAAUUUCGGAGCUUAACUCCGAAACUGCAUUCGAUACUGCGGUGCUUGAGGACUGGAGAGGAGACUGGAAUUCAUGGUGUAGCAGUGAAAUGUGUAGAGAUCGGGAGGAACACCGGUGGCGAAGGCGGGUCUCUGGGCAAUUCCUGACGCUGAGGCGCGAAAGCGUGGGGAGCAAACGGG
rnacentral:rRNA from 1 species